AGCAACAUUGACCUUAGAAAUUGCUUAUAGAAUCUUUAGUAUCACUGAAGUAAUAACGCAAACAUUUUUUAAACAGACAACACUAAUGGGGAUUUCUUAUUUUCUUAUUUUUUUAUUUCUUAUUUCUUAUUUUCCAG